AGUGAACGCUGGCGGUAGGCCUAACACAUGCAAGUCGAACGGCAGCACAGUAAGAGCUUGCUCUUACGGGUGGCGAGUGGCGGACGGGUGAGGAAUACAUCGGAAUCUACUUUUUCGUGGGGGAUAACGUAGGGAAACUACGCUAAUACCGCAUACGACCUACGGGUGAAAGCAGGGGAUCUUCGGACCUUGCGCGAUUGAAUGAGCCGAUGUCGGAUUAGCUAGUUGGCGGGGUAAAGGCCCACCAAGGCGACGAUCCGUAGCUGGUCUGAGAGGAUGAUCAGCCACACUGGAACUGAGACACGGUCCAGACUCCUACGGGAGGCAGCAGUGGGGAAUAUUGGACAAUGGGCGCAAGCCUGAUCCAGCCAUACCGCGUGGGUGAAGAAGGCCUUAGGGUUGUAAAGCCCUUUUGUUGGGAAAGAAAAGCAGCAGGUUAAUACCCCGCUGUUCUGACGGUACCCAAAGAAUAAGCACCGGCUAACUUCGUG
rnacentral:rRNA from 1 species